rnacentral:tRNA from 3 species
GGUUCGUUGGUCAAGCGGUUAAGACGUCGCCCUCUCACGGCGAAAACAGGGGUUCGAUUCCCCUACGAACUGCUA